AUUGAACGCUGGCGGCAGGCCUAACACAUGCAAGUCGAGCGGAUGAAGGGAGCUUGCUCCUGGAUUCAGCGGCGGACGGGUGAGUAAUGCCUAGGAAUCUGCCUGGUAGUGGGGGACAACGUUUCGAAAGGAACGCUAAUACCGCAUACGUCCUACGGGAGAAAGCAGGGGACCUUCGGGCCUUGCGCUAUCAGAUGAGCCUAGGUCGGAUUAGCUAGUUGGUGAGGUAAUGGCUCACCAAGGCGACGAUCCGUAACUGGUCUGAGAGGAUGAUCAGGCACACUGGAACUGAGACACGGUCCAGACUCCUACGGGAGGCAGCAGUGGGGAAUAUUGGACAAUGGGCGAAAGCCUGAUCCAGCCAUGCCGCGUGUGUGAAGAAGGUCUUCGGAUUGUAAAGCACUUUAAGUUGGGAGGAAGGGUUGUAGAUUAAUACUCUGCAAUUUUGGCGUUACCGACAGAAUAAGCACCGGCUAACUCUGUGCCAGCCGCCGCGGUAAUAC
rnacentral:rRNA from 1 species